AGCUCCGAUAGCGUAUAUUAAAGUUGUUGCAGUUAAAAAGCUCGUAGUUGAACUUCUAAGGAUUGAAGUCGCCUUAUGGCUUGUAUUGAUAUCCUUAUCCGCUUUGAUUUAGCAAUACGCACUUUGUUGGGCGAUUGUGUAAUCAGGCAAUUUACUUUGAAAAAAUUAGAGUGUUUCAAGCAGGCGAUUUGCUGGAAUACAUUAGCAUGGAAUAAUAGAACACGACCUCUUAGGCAUUUUAUUGGUAUAUGACUGGAGGUAAUGAUUAACAGGGACAGUUGGGGGCAUUAGUAUUGCAUUGUCAGAGGUGAAAUUCAUUGAUUAGUGCAAGACUAACUUAUGCGAAAGCAUUUGCCAAGGAUGUUUUCA
rnacentral:rRNA from 1 species